rnacentral:rRNA from 1 species
AACGUAGGUGGCGAGCGUUAUCCGGAUUCAUUGGGCGUAAAGAGCUUGUAGGUGGCUGGAUAAGUUGGACGUGAAAACUCCGGGCUUAACUUGGAGAGGCCGUUCAAUACUGUCGAGCUGGAGGGUGUCAGAGGGAAGUAGAAUUCCUGGUGUAGCAGUGAAAUGCGUAGAUAUCAGGAGGAAUACCCGUGGCGAAGGCGGCUUCCUGGGGCACACCUGACACUGAGAAGCGACAGCUAGGGGAG